CGAAGAUUGAUCGACUUUUAUUGAAGUUGUCGUAGGUGAAAUCGUCGAAGUAUCGAAAUCUACUCUCUUCUCAUCAUCCUUGACGAAAAAGAGAAAGAGACAUAGACGAAAUUGACAUUUAAUAGAGUAAUUUGCGUUUCAGCAUUGGCGGCUGUGAAAGAAAAGGCGACCCCGCCUAAGAGGCAGAGACCCAGCAGGAAACAUC